AGAGUAGAGUAGAUGAGAGGAACAGAGGAGAGGAGAGGAAAGUAGAGGAGAGGAGAUGACGGGUGAUGAGAGAGCACCUGAGGCCCAGCAGCUGUCCUGUGAACUUCCCAAUGGAGACAAACGUGGUGACGGUUACGCCCACCAUCCCCCGUAGGCUCUUGGGAGAGCACUCCAAAAGGAAUCUUCCUGCCAUGAUCAUCUCAAACGACCCAGCCGUUUUACUGAGCAACAUCAGCAGGGCCCCGCUGAUGGCCACCAGGUUGUUCAGCAGCAGACAUCGCUUCCUGGAGAGAUGCAUGAUGGGAUAGGCAUUCACCAGUCGCCCAGCGCACAGCGAGGCCAACAGACCACCGAUGCAGAAGAUGGACACGAUGAAGGACCAGAUGAGGGAGA